GCCCAGAUGGCGGAAUUGGUAGACGCACUAUCUUGAGGGGGUAGCGCCGCGAGGCGUGCGGGUUCGAGUCCCGCUCUGGGCACCA
rnacentral:tRNA from 3 species